rnacentral:rRNA from 1 species
UACGUAGGGACCGAGCGUUGUCCGGAUUCAUUGGGCGUAAAGAGCUCGUAGGCGGCUGUUCAAGUCGAACGUGAAAACUCGGAGCUCAACUCCGAGCCUGCGUUCGAUACUGGACGGCUAGAGUCUGGUAGGGGGGAUCUGGAAUUCCUGGUGUAGCGGUGGAAUGCGCAGAUAUCAGGAGGAACACCGGUGGCGAAGGCGGCUCUCUAGUACGGUACUGACGCUGAGACGCGAAAGCGUGGGGAGCGAACAGG